rnacentral:rRNA from 1 species
CCUACGGGAGGCAGCAGUUAGGAAUAUUGGACAAUGGGGGAAACCCUGAUCCAGCCAUGCCGCGUGUGUGAAGAAGGCCUUAGGGUUGUAAAGCACUUUCGUCCGCGAAGCAGUAACGGAAGAAGAAGCUCCGGCUAAAUUCGUGCCAGCAGCCGCGGUAAUACGAAUGGAGCGAGCGUUGUUCGGAAUCACUGGGCGUAAAGCGUGCGCAGGCGGUCGUGAAAGUUAGAAGUGAAAGCCCAGGGCUCAACCUUGGAAUUGCUUUUAAAACUUCACGACUAGAGUACUGGAGAGGUUAGCGGAAUUCCGAGUGUAGAGGUGAAAUUCGCAGAUAUUCGGAGGAACACCAAUGGCGUAGGCAGCUAACUGGACAGUACUGACGCUCAUGCACGAAAGCGUGGGGAUCAAACAGGAUUAGAUACCCUUGUAGUC